UACCUCCAUAUGAUUCGCCGCACCCGCCAAAAGACAUAUUUAGCACCCCAACAAGCCUUAGAAGACCAGCUGUGAGUAUCAAAACCCUUCAAAGACCAAAAACCCUUAGAGCAUAAAAAACCCUAAGCCUUCACUCUCGUUGAAAACCCUAAGCCUUCUCUCUCUCUAUUGAAAACCCUUAACCUUUGGAAGAAUACUAUAUUCAGACUCCGAUCUACAAUUAUUCUUAACUUGUCGGUAAUGGAGUCUCAUAGAUUUGAGUGGCAACGAAAUCAAAAGUGAGGCGGGAGACAAUUUUGUGGUGGUACAUCACAUCGUGAAACAACGACGUGUAGUUGGUGAGUAGCUAGAGCUGUUUAGGGGUUUUCAUUUUCAAGAUCCUGUUCCAAUUUCCUCCGUGAAACAGCCAGAAAAUGUGAAGGUUUCUGUUCUAAGACCAGCUCGAAUCUGAUCUGCAUUUGGUUAGGAAGAUUUAUUUUGGGGGUCAAUAGAGUUCGAAUCAAAGGACCAUCCAGAUGAGAAGUCCAUGGGUUGGAAGAAAAGGAAGCUUUAUGGAGAUGAUGGUCACUGCAGGUAACAUAGGCAUGGAAAUUAGAAAUCUUAUUGUGAAAGGUAAAAAGUUUUAGCAAAAGCAAAUUUUUUUUAGCAAAAGUGAAAAUUUUUAAUUGGAAAGAUUUUAAAAAUUGGGACUCCGUGGAUUGUGAAUUUGUGACUUGAAGGGUUGGCUAUUUGGAAUGAGUUUUUGCAUUUUUGUGGAAACAAAGCUGCAAAUUUUCAUAUUUUUAUGGAUGAAUAAUCCUUUGCAUGUAUAAGAUCCUUGUAGGAUUUGAAAAUGCAUCAAAUUUCUGUCAUCACUAUAGUGGCAAUUCCUACUUGUAUCAUGAUUCUUGACUUGAUUCCCAAGUUUCCAACUUAGUUGGGGGUGUGGCAGUUCUGUUGCUGAUUUAUCUUCUAUGUUAAUAAGGAAAAGGGAUGUUUGGUAAGUCUUGUAUGGUAUACGAUGGAGCCUUUUCUAUUGGUAAAUUCACAUGUUGUUUUUCCUAUUGAACUGUUGUUUUUCUCUCUUUAUUUCUUUAAAGCUAAUUUUGGUUGCUAUUUUGUGCAUAGUAUCUGUAACAGAGCCUCCUUGAGAGUUAUUCAUCUAGUUGAAGGCUUCCCUUUGUGGUGUCAAGAAAAAGAAACACACACAAUUGCAAUGCUUUCUUAAAGAGGAAAGCAUAAACUAGGUGUACCAGAAUGUGACAAAAAUCUCAAGGUUGCAAAGGAAACAGAUUUACCAAAAAUAGAGAAAUUGUUAUGUUGAAGGAGGUGAUAUUGAAAACCAUGAAGAUUCUAUCAAUGGGCUAAUUGAAAGGUUGAACUAGAUUUUUGUAGAUUAUGGUUUCUCUUAUUACUCAUUGUAUUAAUGUUUGGCCUAAUGUUGAAGGAAUUACACAUUCUUGUUGAAAUCUUUUGAUAUAAUUGAUAAAUUUAUAUGUAAUUUGUAAAUAAGUAGUUAAAAUAAUUAUUCAA